UGGGGGUGUGGUAUGUGGGGGGUGGUGGUGAGCCAGCCCCAGCUAAUGGCUGGGGCCAGCUUUUCCAAGGUGCGCGUUCAGAUUUGAAGGUGCCUCUCCUCCCUUCUCGUUUCCUUCCUCUCAGAGAGAGAGGUACCUGAGCCGGCAGGUCAACUCAGGUUACCUCAACAGGUAUAAGACCCCCGAGGGGGCUGAAUGCCAACCAGAGAGAGCGGUCCCCUAACAACCAAAGCCUGGAAAUAAAGGAACCGCAAGCAGCCAUCCUUGCUGGGGCGUCUCCGUCCCUCGCCCCGAGGCCUGCACCGCCCUCCUAGGUAUCGUGGAUUUAUGUUCGUUUGUCCGGGUCAUUCUGCCUUUUCGUGUUAAUUACGCGCUGCCUGCUUCGUGCUUAUCUCCUGCGCAAAGCGAUUAUUUUCAACGCCCGCCCUUCUGAGCCUCCCGAGUCUGCUGGGAGAGCGAGGACCCAUCUCCUGCCGCCACUCGCGAUUUAUUUACACCUCGCAGGCGCAUUUCUGGCCUCGGAACACCGCGCACGCAGACACACGCACCGAAGCUCCCGCGACCGCCUGCCCGUGGCGCGCACCCUAAACUCCUCGCUCCUCUUACCCUGCCUCCUGCUCCGUACCGCCUAUUCCGCCGCCGCCUGCAGGACUUUGGGGUGGGACUCUGACUUCUCCCGGCUCUUUGCCCCCUGGUUUGUGGCCCAGCCCUCUCUCACGCGCGCUCUCUCUCCACUUCUCCCUCCCAUCCAGUGAGGUCCUGUUCUCCGUGGGCCAUAGACAAAACAUUCCUAUAAUCCGAUUUCAAAGGAAAGAGUGUCCACCUUAUUUAAACCAUAAAACAAUUAAGCCCAGACGUCUAGCCAGCUCCGCGCUGCUGUUUUGUUCGGCCCCAUUCAGAAUCCAGCGCAGGGAGACAAACAGCGCCAUAAAAGUGGCAUUUCGGGGCCUCGGAAAUGUACCUACCCUCUGCCUUCCCAAGUGGAACAACCUUUAGGGUUUUGUGAUUCUGACAAAGGAGCAGAGGAGAGGUGGGAGGGGAGGAUUAGGGCAGGGGGGCGUUUGCAAGCCCCUCUUUCGUCCCUAGCUUUCGUUUCUUUCCCUAGAUGUGUGUCAUGUUGUUGUGGUUUGAGUUCACAAAUGACAAUAAAUAAAAAUCGAAUCCAAUCCUGACCUGCAGGCUGGAGGUUGAGCUGGU
ensembl:lncRNA